UACGUAGGGUGCGAGCGUUAAUCGGAAUUACUGGGCGUAAAGCGUGCGCAGGCGGCUUUGCAAGACAGAUGUGAAAUCCCCGGGCUUAACCUGGGAACUGCAUUUGUGACUGCAUGGCUGGAGUGCGGCAGAGGGGGAUGGAAUUCCGCGUGUAGCAGUGAAAUGCGUAGAUAUCGGGAGGAAUACCUAUGGCGAAGGCAGGUUACUGGGCCAUCACUGACGCUGAGCUGCGAAAGCUAGGGGAGCAAACAGG
rnacentral:rRNA from 1 species